CCGACGCGCAGCCCGCGCCUGGGCCGACCUGUUGACUGAAAAUCAGCCGGCGCUUGGCCAGAUGCGUCGAUGGAGGCCCGCAGCCCAGCGACGACGUGGUAGUCAUGGCUGAAGCGGCGCCUGCCCCGCCAAAUGCAGAGAAGAGCUCAUACCUCUAUUCCAUAGAAAUCACACUGUGGACCGUGGUGCCUGCUGUUCAGGCCUUGGAGAAGAAAAGUGGAUUCUUGCCUGGCCCGCUUGCUGACUCUGGAGGGAUGCUCAGGGACAGCAGAGAAGAAGCUGGCUGACUGUGAGAAGACAGCUGUGGAGUUCAGCAGCCAGCUGGAGGGCAAGUUGGCCGUGCUGGGGACCCUGCCUCAGGAGUCUAGGCUGCUGCAUGAAGAACCUCAUGGGCAACUGGAACUUCUGGGUCCAGCGGCUUCCCCCUGGCAACAAGGGGGAGGUCCCCAAGGUAUUUCUCUGAGUCCAGAGCAGGCCCCAAGUCCAGCUAGCCCUGCCCAGGAGGAACUGAAUCAAAGGCAGACACCUGAGCAGCAGCAAGAGGAAGCAACCAUGAUUCCACCUGAGCCAGGCACUGGGAUUCCAGCAAGCACCAGCCCUUUAUCACUUAAACAGGAGGAAGAAUCUGCAGAGGGAGGAGAGUUGCCACCCUCCCCUUCCACAGAUAGCCUGCUUUCUGUGGAGCCAGGGGCGGAACCUCCAGGGCUAGCCAAUGGGGAGCCGCCUUGUGGAGGGUGUGGCCUGCGUUUCUGCCGCGGGAGCAGCGAGGACGUCUAGGUCUCAAACUGCCAACUGCGUCCAAGACGACCAUCCUGAUUCUGUAUCGUGAGGCCAGGAAGGGCCGCCUGUAGGGGACACAGCGGCUACAACAAGACGAAGCAGAAUCGCGCGCAGCCAUGACUGAGGCGGCCG
rnacentral:lncRNA from 1 species